rfam:Gossypium hirsutum cultivar TM-1 unplaced genomic scaffold scaffold1251.1, whole genome shotgun sequence
GGUUAAAAUUUUCAUUCAUUUCUACUAUUAAAAACUAACGUAGCUGAUGAACUAACCAGACAAUUACACGUAUACCUCAUGCUGACAUAUAAAAAUUACUUUUUACUAAUAAAAAUGAAUAAAAAUUUUAACA